rnacentral:rRNA from 1 species
CCUACGGGAGGCAGCAGUGAGGAAUAUUGGUCAAUGGACGAGAGUCUGAACCAGCCAAGUAGCGUGAAGGAUGAAUGCCCUCUGGGUUGUAAACUUCUUUUAUAUGGGAGUAAAAUGUUCCACGUGUGGGAUUAUGUAUGUACCAUAAGAAUAAGGAUCGGCUAACUCCGUGCCAGCAGCCGCGGUAAUACGGAGGAUCCGAGCGUUAUCCGGAUUUAUUGGGUUUAAAGGGAGCGUAGGUGGAUUGUUAAGUCAGUUGUGAAGGUUUGCGGCUCAACCGUAAAAUUGCAGUUGAAACUGGCAGUCUUGAGUACAGUAGAGGUGGGCGGAAUUCGUGGUGUAGCGGUGAAAUGCUUAGAUAUCACGAAGAACUCCGAUUGCGAAGGCAGCUCACUGGACUGCAACUGACACUGAGGCUCGAAAGUGUGGGUAUCAAACAGGAUUAGAUACCCCAGUAGUC